GACGAGACAAGGCUCCGUGUUGAGGGUCAAGCAGUGGUCUGUUUAAUGAGGGCUACCUGCCCGGCUUUUAUGCAGGUCUCCCACCUGGUGGACACUCCCCUAGGGGACCAGAUGGAAGACUGUGACAAGGGACAGACAAGUAUACAAAUAGGACACACAGUCACAGUAUAUUCCCACAAUGCAUCCUGGCUACCUCCCCUCUGCCCUGGGAGAUAAUUGGGAAGUAACUCAAUUAUCUCCCAAGACAAAGGCAAAACUCCAUUACACAC